rnacentral:lncRNA from 1 species
CAUUUAAGAGGAAUAUUACAUAGUGUUUAUCUUACCCAAAACACCACCACUCACCACCCAACCGGGAAUAACCAGAAAGCUCCCAGAAAGUUUACAAGGACUUAUGUUACAAAGAAUUCUAUCUCACACUACCUUACUUUCUCUAUCUGCAGAUAUCCCCCUCUUGCUCACACUUCACGUAUACAACCCUCUAUCCUAUUUAUAGACAAAGGAAUGUAGAGAUUUACAAGAAAAUACAUCUAAUAUUCAGCUACAACAACUACCAGAAAAUUAGUUAGAACCAAAGGCUCCUAACUGAUUUUCUAACUCACUAACUAAUCCAACUAAUGAGUUUAAUAACCAAAUCAAGAAUCA